AGCUAGAAGAAUAUCAUAAUAUGACUCUGUAAUUAUUAGUUCACGAUCCACAAUGGCUGUGUGUAGGGUUUGGGAAAGAUUCAUUGACCGUGAACAUCUCAGUGGAUGUAAAGCGCCGCUUAACAUAAUACAUCCACAAGUAAGUUCUACUAGCUAGCAAACUUUCGCUAACUUUUAGCCUUCUUAUUGUCGUGGUCAUGAAUAUUUUUAUAUAUAUAUAUCGUACAGUAGUGUUUAAGAC
rnacentral:lncRNA from 1 species